rnacentral:misc_RNA from 1 species
GAGUCAUUGUGGGUUUACACCCUAAUACUCCACCCAUUGUUUACAUUACCUUUGUUGCUUUGGCAGGCCCGUCCUCGGACCGCCGGCUCCCAGCUGGCCAGUGCCUGCCAGAGGACCUAAAACUCUUGUUUAAUCAUAUUGUCUGAGUACUAUAUAAUAGUUAAAACUUUCAACAACGGAUCUCUUGGUUCU